rnacentral:rRNA from 1 species
UACGGAGGGUGCAAACGUUGCUCGGAAUCAUUGGGCGUAAAGCGCACGUAGGCGGUCCAGAAGGUCGGGUGUGAAAGCCCUCGGCUCAACCGGGGAAGUGCAUUCGAAACCACUGAACUUGAGUAUGGAAGAGGGUCGCGGAAUUCCCGGUGUAGAGGUGAAAUUCGUAGAUAUUGGGAAGAACACCAGUGGCGAAGGCGGCUAUCUGGACCGUAACUGACGCUGAGGCGCGAAAGCGUAGGGAGCAAACAGG